rnacentral:rRNA from 1 species
AUGCACGCUGGCGGCGUGCCUAAUCCCUGCCAGUCGAGCGAACGGACGAGAAGCUUGCUUCUCUGAUGUUAGCGGCGGACGGGUGAGUAACACGUGGAUAACCUACCUAUAAGACUGGGAUAACUUCGGGAAACCGGAGCUAAUACCGGAUAAUAUUUUGAACCGCAUGGUUCAAAAGUGAAAGACGGUCUUGCUGUCACUUAUAGAUGGAUCCGCGCUGCAUUAGCUAGUUGGUAAGGUAACGGCUUACCAAGGCAACGAUGCAUAGCCGACCUGAGAGGGUGAUCGGCCACACUGGAACUGAGACACGGUCCAGACUCCUACGGGAGGCAGCAGUAGGGAAUCUUCCGCAAUGGGCGAAAGCCUGACGGAGCAACGCCGCGUGAGUGAUGAAGGUCUUCGGAUCGUAAAACUCUGUUAUUAGGGAAGAACAUAUGUGUAAGUAACUGUGCACAUCUGGACGGUACCUAAGCAGAAAGCCACGGCUAACUACGG